AAUAGAUAUCCCGGUAGUCCACGCCGUAAACGAUGAGUGCUAAGUGUUAGGGGGUUUCCGCCCCUUAGUGCUGCAGCUAACGCAUUAAGCACUCCGCCUGGGGAGUACGGUCGCAAGACUGAAACUCAAAGGAAUUGACGGGGGCCCGCACAAGCGGUGGAGCAUGUGGUUUAAUUCGAAGCAACGCGAAGAACCUUACCAGGUCUUGACAUCCCGCUGACCGCUAUGGAGACAUAGCCUUCCCUUCGGGGACAGCGGUGACAGGUGGUGCAUGGUUGUCGUCAGCUCGUGUCGUGAGAUGUUGGGUUAAGUCCCGCAACGAGCGCAACCCUUGAGAUUAGUUGCCAUCAUUCAGUUGGGCACUCUAAUCUGACUGCCGGUGAUAAACCGGAGGAAGGUGGGGAUGACGUCAAAUCAUCAUGCCCCUUAUGACCUGGGCUACACACGUGCUACAAUGGACGGUACAAACGGUUGCCAACCCGCGAGGGGGAGCCAAUCCGAUAAAACCGUUCUCAGUUCGGAUUGUAGGCUGC
rnacentral:rRNA from 1 species